rnacentral:rRNA from 1 species
CGAGCGCAACCCUUGUCCUUAGUUACCAGCACGUUAUGGUGGGCACUCUAAGGAGACUGCCGGUGACAAACCGGAGGAAAGGUGGGGAUGACGUCAAGUCAUCAUGGCCCUUACGGCCUGGGCUACACACGUGCUACAAUGGUCGGUACAAAGGGUUGCCAAGCCGCGAGGUGGAGCUAAUCCCAUAAAACCGAUCGUAGUCCGGAUCGCAGUCUGCAACUCGACUGCGUGAAGUCGGAAUCGCUAGUAAUCGUGAAUCAGAAUGUCACGGUGAAUACGUUCCCGGGCCUU